rnacentral:lncRNA from 1 species
CCGGGGUGGCCGUCAGUCAUCACAGGCCUGUUUGGUCCCAAUAUCCUUGUUUUGCAAAGAGCAGUUCCUGAAAUCUCGCCGACUCGAGCUUUGCUCAUCUUUGAUUGGGGCAUUUUCAGCCGCUGAGGCCAAAAAUAACAAACACAGGCGGUGCCUUGCUGAGCACGGCCCCCGUUCUGGCCCUUUCUGUGUGGCCGGUGGCAGCUGGGUUGCCAGGCUCCAGGCUCGCGGAGUCUGUCUCCAUCCCCGAUGCAUCUGUCCUCAGACCCGGGCGUGCCGACGGGCAUGUCCAGCCCGACCUUCCGGGUUCCUAGACCCGGGUGGGGCUCAGGGACAUGGGCCCCGGAGGGUGCGUGCUGCCCCGUCUGUUUGCCUGUCUGGAAAAUUGCAUUAGGCCGGGUCACAUCUGCAUCACACAGGACCCUCAUACCUGCACGCGGGCUUCCUGGAGGAGGGGAAAGGCGGGCCCCAGAGGCAGGUGCUCGGAAAAGCUCUACGGACACUGGAGUCUGUGGCCAGCUGGGCAGCUUCCAGACGUGCCCCCCCGGCACCUUACGAUUCAGCGAGACAUCGGCCGGUCCCUGUGAUGUGAAAAGGGGCAGAAUUGCCGUCCGAGAGAAUUAAAAUCAGACUGUGGUGCUCGAAGCAUG